GAUGAACGCUGGCGGCGUGCCUAAUACAUGCAAGUCGAGCGAACAGACGAGGAGCUUGCUCCUCUGACGUUAGCGGCGGACGGGUGAGUAACACGUGGAUAACCCACCUAUAAGACUGGGAUAACUUCGGGAAACCGGAGCUAAUACCGGAUAAUAUAUUGAACCGCAUGGUUCAAUAGUGAAAGACGGUUUUGCUGUCACUUAUAGAUGGAUCCGCUCCGCAUUAGCUAGUUGGUAAGGUAACGGCUUACCAAGGCAACGAUGCGUAGCCGACCUGAGAGGGUGAUCGGCCACACUGGAACUGAGACACGGUCCAGACUCCUACGGGAGGCAGCAGUAGGGAAUCUUCCGCAAUGGGCGAAAGCCUGACGGAGCAACGCCGCGUGAGUGAUGAAGGUCUUCGGAUCGUAAAACUCUGUUAUUAGGGAAGAACAAAUGUGUAAGUAACUAUGCACGUCUUGACGGUACCUAAUCAGAAAGCCACGGCUAACUACGUG
rnacentral:rRNA from 1 species